AGGGUUCUCAGCAGAACAUGUUGUCAGAAAAAAUUCUGCAAGUGGAGAAGACAGCUGCUCUCACCUAAAGGACAUUAGAGUGGACAGUUGAGAAAACAGAAGCCAAGAAGGAAGAGGAGGAACCGUACCAGGUGCUGUAGGGAUGUAUCUGGGAGAGCGUCUGGAAGAACAAAGGCAACAGAAAGGAAGAAUGACUGCAGAUGCGCUCAUGGCUGGGGCUUCAUAUCCCAGAAGCCAUAUACUGAUAAGUGGAAAACCCAGUGCCAGGGUGGGCUACCUCUAUACAUUUCUGGACGCGGAGUCUUCUGAGGCCUCCAAAACCAUAAAAGCUGAUGUCAUGUACUAGAUAGUUUUUUGUCAACACAAGCUAAAGUCAUCUGAGAGGAAAGAACCUCAGAUAACAUUUCUCCAUGCACUGAGCUGUACAGCAGCUUGUUGGGAAUUUUCUUAACUAGUGAUUAAUGUGGGGAGGGCCCAGCCCA
ensembl:antisense Zfp335os zinc finger protein 335, opposite strand